rnacentral:rRNA from 1 species
UCAGGUGGCCGCAGAGAAUAGGCCCAAGCGACUGUUUACCAAAAACAUAGGUUUCUGCUAAGUCGCAAGACGAUGUAUAGGAGCUGACGCCUGCCCGGUGCUGGAAGGUUAAGGGGAUCUGUUAGAGCAAUCGAAGCAGUGAACUUAAGCCCCAGUAAACGGCGGCCGUAACUAUAACGGUCCUAAGGUAGCGAAAUUCCUUGUCGGGUAAGUUCCGACCCGCACGAAAGGCGUAACGAUUUGGGCACUGUCGCAACAACAGACUCGGUGAAAUUGUAAUUCCGGUGAAGAUGCCGGAUACCUGCGACAGGACGGAAAGACACCAUGGAGCUUUACUGUAGCUUGACAUUGGGUCUUGGUACUACAUGUACAGGAUAGGUGGGAGGCUUUGAAACCAGGACGCCAGUUUUGGCGGAGCCAUCCUUGGGAUACCACCCUUGUAGUACUGGGACUCUAACCAUAGGCCAUGAAUCUG